GCAUAUCUCUGUAUGAAGUAAUAUAGAAGAAAAUUUGGGGGCUGUAGUUAAGGCUGAGGAAGAAUUUCUUUUCCCAGGUUUUGAUUUCAUGUCUCGCAUCCUCCAGAGCAAGACUGCUUGCUUCUCUCUGCCUACCCACUCGUUUCUCCCACACGCAACAGGAGUUAGUUAUCUGAAUGGUAAUUUGAGGAGAAAGACUUGUGUAUUCUACUCAGCCUUUCUCUCCUUUCUCUUUAGAUCUGCCUGUCUCAGAAAGAAUGACCACCUUCUCUCCUUCACAUGGUCCUUGAACUACACCGCUGUAAGCCUACCUGCAGACCCAGUGAGAUCCCGACACUCACGACUCUGGUUGACAUAGUCAGCUGGGUCUGUAAGUACUGAAAAGGAUACUCCAGCCCUUACCCCAUGCAUCUCCAGCAGAGCACAAGGCAUUACGCUGGUCUGAUCCACAGAGAGGCCCUUCACCGCUCUGUAAACAGAGAAGGAAGUCAGAGGCCCCCUCUUGCAUGCAGGCGGUCGGCAGCUCACCCUGAACUUGCUUUAGCCGGAGCACACUCAGGCGUCAUGGUCAGUGGAUAUCUCGGAGCUUCAAAGGUCCUGGGUCCAGGCAUGGAGAGCUUGUUCCUUCUUUUUAAAAGAAAAAUAUGCAAACAGAUGAUCAUGAUUUUUAAGUUAAUCUGAUAGAUGAGUCAACAAGGCCUUUGAAGCUUCCCUGACACAUAGCGAUUGCUUCCGAAUAUUAGUUUGAUGAAUGGGUGAAUGAACAGAUCAUCCAGCCAAGGUCAGAGAGCUGGCAACAGGUGGAGAAUUAGGAGUAAGUGAUCCCGGUUUCCUGCCUCCUAAUGCCUGAGUGUUUCUGACACAGCAUAUUCACCUGUUUUUCACUAUUUAUGGAAAUAUGACAGACUUAAACUUUCACUUCAUCGGAUAGUUAUUGUUUCAGUUUCUGC
rnacentral:lncRNA from 1 species